ACAUAUAUCAUUUGUGUGCAAAUCUACCUGGUGUGAAUAGGUGUGUGGAUGAAGGUUUGGCUUCUGCUCUGCAUUCUUUAUGUAUGUUAACGUUUACUUUUGUUUGUUCGCCUUUUAUUGUAAAACUUGAAAACUAAUAAAAAAUAGUGUUGUUGUUUUUCUCAACUUUUAUUUUAUUUUAUUUUAUUUUAUUUUAUUUUAUUUUAUUUUAUUUUAUUUUAUUUUAUUUUAUUUUAUUCACUCCCUACCAGUUGGUGACGGUAUUUCACCAUUUCGUUGUUUUCCGAGCCAACUGCCAAAAAACAUGCAGUAGAAGAAGAGUCGCCAAGAGGCUUCCAUUAAGUCUGAUGUGGCUACUUCAAUGUUAGCAAGGUAGCACCAAUGGUUGCUUUCUUUGUUGGAUAUUUCCCCCCAUUAGUAACUCGACAUGGGCAAGAGAGACAAUCGAGUGGCUUACAUUAACCCUAUUGCUGCUGCACGAGCCAGGGGACCGGCAAAUAAUGCUGGACCAACCAUACAGGAUUAUCUAAGCAGACCUCGACCAACAUGGGAAGAGUUAAAGGAGCAGCUGGAGAAGAAGAAGAAGGGCUCUCGAGCCCUGGCUGACUUUGAGGACAAAAUGAACGUGAAAUGGAGGAAAGAACUGGCCAAAAACCGAGAGAAGUUGUUAGGCGCAAGUGAAAAAGACAAAGAGAAGGACAAAAAGACAACAGAAAAGGAAAAAGAGGAGAAGAAAGAGAAAAAAGAGAAAAAAAAGAAAGAGAAGAAGAAAUCCAGCAGGCAUUCUUCAUCUUCCUCCUCCUCAUCGAGUUCUGAUUCCUCCAGCAGCUCCUCCUCAGAAUCUGAAGAUCUGGAUGAAAAGAAAAGCGUGAAAAAAAAGCGGAAGAGGAAGAAGUCAUCAGUCAGGAGAGCAUCAGACAGCUCAGAAGAUGAAUCUGAUGCUGAAAGCAAGAAGAAAAAGAAAAGAAUCAAGGAAGAUGGGGACAAAGAUAAGGAUGACAGGAGCCGUAAAAGAAAAAGGAAGGCAGAGCGAAGUUAUAGAGACUCAUCUUCAGAGUCCUCUGCAGACUCAGAGGGGGAGGAGGUAGUAAGUAUUAUUCUUGUAUUGUAACAGACAUGUAUAACUGUGAAUCUACAAGAGAACUCUGAAUACAUGACACGUCUUUCUAGCUGUUACGUGUCAUUUCAUUUUACUUCAAGUUUGCCAGCUGUUCUACUUAAUCUAUCUUCUUUAUUCCUCUUUUACCACUUUGUUCCUCUUUUAAUUCAAAUUUGUGGAAAAGAUCACAAGUAUCACGAAAUCAUAUGAUACUUGAUACUUUUUCUGCUGACAUGAAAAUAUGCCAGUAUAAAAUGUUAUUCAGCUUAUAUCAAAUUUAGUUAACUUCAUUCUAAUACUUGGUUAAGGGGGGACAUUAGAUAUUUUGUAGUUCUAGUCAACAAGAUACUAGAUCUUUAAGCUUUGUUUGGUCAACAAUCAAUUAUAAGUGAACUUAAUGUUGUACCAGUGUCUGCUUUUGGCUGAUCAAACGUUUAUUGGUGAUCGUCUGAGACAUUUCCAUCAAACUGACAGUAGGUUGCAAAUGAUUGGCUAGUUGGUUUUGUUUUGUUUCUGUGUUGUUUUUGUCUACACUAGUCAGACUUCUGAGUUGGAGCCAUUCAAAUGAAACUGUGGUCAUACAGUCAUCUCUGGCUGUCACCGUCACUACAGACCCCUGUCUGUAGUUCUAUAAGCCUAACUGCUAAACCAUACAGUAAGAUUACACCAUUGGUGAAUAAAGUCAAGUUUCAGUUCUCCCAGUCCACACGCUCACACUUUCACUCAUCCAGAUGUGCAAGGUUUCUGUCUGUCUCGCUUCAUUGGGAGUCUGAUAAAUGAUAUUUAAAUUAAAAACUCCUAUUUACAUACGGCUGACGGUUGUUGUUGUUGUUGUUGUUGUUGUUGUUGUUGUUGUUGUUGUUGUUUUUUACCUCAUUCAACCUAAGCCAGGAGGGGCAUGGCCCUCAGGUUGGCUCAAUCAGGUCGAUGGCUUUUCUGUUCAGAUGUAGUUCACCAUUCUAACUGUUUUAACUGCAGAGUGCAUGCAUCAUGAGAGAGUGAGCACAACUACACUGGGAAAGAGUGAACAAGGCUGAAGAGGCCAAGAAGAAAAAGAGAAGUAGCGAGGAAAAGGAGAAAAU